GUGUCAGCCGCCGCGGUAACACGUAGGGGGCGAGCGUUGUCCGGAUUUAUUGGGCGUAAAGAGCUCGUAGGCGGCUCGGUAAGUCGGGUGUGAAAUUUCGAGGCUUAACCUCGAAACGCCACCCGAUACUGCUGUGGCUAGAGUCCGGUAGGGGAGCGUGGAAUUCCUGGUGUAGCGGUGAAAUGCGCAGAUAUCAGGAGGAACACCAGCGGCGAAGGCGGCGCUCUGGGCCGGUACUGACGCUGAGGAGCGAAAGCGUGGGGAUCAAACAGGAUUAGAUACCCUAGUAGUCC
rnacentral:rRNA from 1 species